rnacentral:tRNA from 1 species
AGUAUUAUGUCUGAUUAAAGUAAUAAAUUGUAAAUUUAUGUAAAAAUUUUUUAAAAAAUUUUAAUACUA